rnacentral:rRNA from 1 species
AGUCUAGGGGGCCCAGCAAUGGGUCACCGGCGAACGGGUGCGUAACACGUAAGCGACCUACCCUAGGAUGGGGGAUAGCCGGCCCAACGGCCGGGUAAUACCGCAUACGCUCUUCGAACGUGAUGGUUUGAAGAGGAAACCUUUCGGGUCCUUGGAGGGGCUUGCGUCCUAUCAGCUAGUUGGUGAGGUAACGGCUCACCAAGGCUAUGACGGGUAGCUGGUCUGAGAGGAUGGCCAGCCACAUUGGGACUGAGAUACGGCCCAGACUCCUACGGGAGGCAGCAGUGGGGAAUCUUGCGCAAUGGCCGAAAGGCUGACGCAGCGACGCCGCGUGGAGGAUGAAGCCCUUCGGGGCGUAAACUCCUGUUGCCCGGGAAGAACCUCCCUUUUCGAGGGGACUGACGGUACCGGGUGAGGAAGCACCGGCUAACUCUGUGCCAGCAGCCGCGGUAAUACAGAGGGUGCGAGCGUUGUCCGGAAUCACUGGGCGUAAAGGGCGCGUAGGCGGCUUCUCAAGCGUGCGGUGAAAGCUCGGGGCUCAACCCCGAGUCGGCCGUGCGAACUGGGAAGCUGGAGCACGGUAGAGGCACAUGGAAUUCCGGGUGUAGCGGUGGAAUGCGUAGAGAUCCGGAGGAACACCGGUGGCGAAGGCGGUGUGCUGGGCCGUUGCUGACGCUGAUGCGCGACAGCGUGGGGAGCAAACAGGAUUAGAUACCCUGGUAGUCCACGCCGUAAACGAUGGGCACUAGGUCCUUGGGGGAGCGACCCCCUGAGGGCCGUCGCAAACGCAUUAAGUGCCCC